AGUGUGCAUCUCUUUUCUUGCUAUUCACAUGUACACAAACCAAAUUUUGUUCCUACGUUAGAAAGCAAAGAUGAACCUGUUUCUUUGUUUUCUGGGAGUGAGAGGCUUUGGAAUAUAAUUUUUGAAGAUAGCGUGUGAGAUGAAAAUUGAGGUGAUGAGAGGAAAAUAAAACAGAGAAACACACAAAACGGAGAAGAGAGAGAGCUAGCAAUACUUUGGGUGGAGGAGGCAUGAUGCCAUAGCAAAGCAAAGACAUUGGAUAGAUGUGUCCAGGAGCACCAGAAUGUUCAACCAGUCUUCUCAUGUUGUCCACAGACGAAGAAUCAAAGGGUGCCUGAACAUUUCUUUUUAGAUCAUUAUCUAACAAUAUUCACCAGAUACAUUCCAUUUAGGUUAAUAACUUACAGGAAACCAUUCCCCUGUAGAAGGAUCCGGGCGGUCCCUUCCACCGCUUGGUGCAAUCCAUAUAACUUGGGAGCCAGACCUACAGCGUGGUUCAUGCUACAUUUAGCAGAAUAACAUUUUUAUUUUCCAAGUCUAUAGUUGUAAUUAACCUUAGCAGUGUAGCCAUCUCCUUUAAGCUUCGUGUGUUUGCUUUUCUUUUCAUAUCAACAAGCUCAGGAUCAUCGUUCAUGUGCUUUUUCGAGUAAACACAUAUGAGAUUCCUGAAAGCAGGAGAAAUCCCAUAAGUCAAUAAAAGGUUACUUAUAUUUA